GCAUAUCAAUAAGCGGAGGAAAAGAAACUAACAAGGAUUCCCCUAGUAACGGCGAGUGAAGAGGGAAAAGCUCAAAUUUUAAAUCUACCUGGUUCCCAGGUCGAAUUGUAAUUUGAAGAAGCGAUAUCGGUGUGGAGGUCUGGUUCAAGUUCUUUGGAACAAGACAUCAUGGAGGGUGAGAAUCCCGUGCAUGAUCAGACCAAAAUACUUAAUAUUCGUUUUCUAAGAGUCGAGUUGUUUGGGAAUGCAGCUCAAAAUGGGUGGUAGACUUCACCUAAGGCUAAAUAUCAGCGAGAGACCGAUAGCGAACAAGUACUGUGAAGGAAAGAUGAAAAGAACUUUGAAAAGAGAGUUAAAUAGUACGUGAAAUUGUUGAAAGGGAAACGAUUGAAGUCAGUCAUGCUAGUGAAAAAUCAGUUUGACGGGUUUUGAGUUCGGGAGUAGAGGCAGGGUCAAACCGUUUCUCUUUUGGACUUGGGAUUUGUCGGAUGUACUUUUUCUUUGGCAGGUCAGCGUCGGUUUCGGAGGUUGUAAAAUACUUGGGGGAAAGUAGCUCUGCUUCGGGAGAGUAUUAUAGACCCUGGGGGAUGCGGCCUGUGGGAUCGAGGAUUGCAGCAAAUGCCUUUGGCUUGUCGCCUGAUCUCUGGAUGUUACCUCUCUUGUGACAACAUUCUUGCCACCGGGGAGUACUGAUGCCCAUUAGGUUAGAACGAUCAAAAAUUUGCUAAGGAUGCUGACGUAAUGGCUUUAAACGAC
rnacentral:rRNA from 1 species